rnacentral:rRNA from 1 species
CCUACGGGAGGCAGCAGUGAGGAAUAUUGGUCAAUGGGCGGGAGCCUGAACCAGCCAAGCCGCGUGAAGGAAGAAGGCGCCAGGCGUCGUAAACUUCUUUUGUCGGGGAACAAAGGGCGCCACGCGUGGCGUUGUGAGUGUACCCGAAGAAAAAGCAUCGGCUAACUCCGUGCCAGCAGCCGCGGUAAUACGGAGGAUGCGAGCGUUAUCCGGAUUUAUUGGGUUUAAAGGGUGCGUAGGCGGUCGGAUAAGUUAGAGGUGAAAUCCCGAGGCUCAACUUCGGAAUUGCCUCUGAUACUGUUCGGCUAGAGAGUAGUUGCGGUAGGCGGAAUGUAUGGUGUAGCGGUGAAAUGCUUAGAGAUCAUACAGAACACCGAUUGCGAAGGCAGCUUACCAAGCUACUUCUGACGUUGAGGCACGAAAGCGUGGGGAGCAAACAGGAUUAGAUACCCGAGUAGUC